rnacentral:rRNA from 1 species
UACGUAGGGGGCUAGCGUUGUCCGGAAUCAUUGGGCGUAAAGCGCGUGUAGGCGGUUCGGUAAGUCCGCUGUGAAAGUCGGGGGCUCAACCCUCGGAAGCCGGUGGAUACUGUCGGGCUAGAGUACGGAAGAGGCGAGUGGAAUUCCUGGUGUAGCGGUGAAAUGCGCAGAUAUCAGGAGGAACACCAAUUGCGAAGGCAGCUCGCUGGGACGUUACUGACGCUGGGACGCGAAAGCGUGGGGAGCAAACAGG